AGAGUUUGAUCAUGGCUCAGGAUGAACGCUGGCGGCGUGCUUAACACAUGCAAGUCGAACGAACCUUCGGGUUAGUGGCGGACGGGUGAGUAACGCGUGGGAAUCUGCCCUCAGGAGGGGGAUAACGGUUGGAAACGACCGCUAAUACCCCAUAUGCCGAGAGGUGAAAUGAAUUUCGCCUGAGGAUGAGCCCGCGUCUGAUUAGCUUGUUGGUGAGGUAAUGGCUCACCAAGGCAUCGAUCAGUAGCUGGUCUGAGAGGAUGAUCAGCCACACUGGGACUGAGACACGGCCCAGACUCCUACGGGAGGCAGCAGUGGGGAAUUUUCCGCAAUGGGCGAAAGCCUGACGGAGCAACGCCGCGUGAGGGACGAAGGCCUCUGGGCUGUAAACCUCUUUUCUCAAGGAAGAAGAUAUGACGGUACUUGAGGAAUAAGCCACGGCUAAUUCCGUGCCAGCAGCCGCGGUAAUACGGGAGUGGCAAGCGUUAUCCGGAAUUAUUGGGCGUAAAGCGUCCGCAGGCGGCCUUUCAAGUCUGCUGUUAAAACGUGGAGCUUAACUCCAUCAUGGCAGUGGAAACUGAUUGGCUUGAGUAUGGUAGGGGCAAAGGGAAUUCCCGGUGUAGCGGUGAAAUGCGUAGAUAUCGGGAAGAACACCAGUGGCGAAGGCGCUCUGCUGGGCCAUUACUGACGCUCAUGGACGAAAGCCAGGGAGCGAAAGGGAUUAGAUACCCCUGUAGUCCUGGCCGUAAACGAUGAACACUAGGUGUCGGGGGAAUCGACCCCUUCGGUGUCGUAGCUAACGCGUUAAGUGUUCCCGCCUGGGGAGUACGCACGCAAGUGUGAAACUCAAAGGAAUUGACGGGGGACCCGCACAAGCGG
rnacentral:rRNA from 1 species